rnacentral:rRNA from 1 species
AUCUGCAGCCACAUCAUCCUGGACACACCAGGUCUCCUAAUCUCAGACGCUAAAUAGAACAGAGCCCGGUUAGCACGUAAUUCAGAGACAUGGAGACGGUCAAGAAAGGCAGGCU